rnacentral:ncRNA from 1 species
UCUAUCAUUGAUUAAAAGGGAAACAGGUGAAAGUCCUGUACAGUCCCGCUGCUGUAAGCUGUCGUUGAUAAGGCGAAACAACAUGCCACUGACAUUGGCCCAAAUUGGAGAUGUCGGGAAGGCUUUUCGCUUUGGAACAGCAAAGUCAGAAGACCUGCCAACAGUUUUU